rnacentral:lncRNA from 1 species
UGGCCCAUGUCUGUGACCUUUAUCCCUAACUCGUGAACAAGCCGUCGCCGCACACCUGCUCUGCCUCUCCGUCUCUGUCUCUCUCCCUCAAACCCGACGGCGGCACUGGUUUCUCUCCGGCGAGCAUCUCCCUGCCCCUUGGCCCUACCCAUGUACCCCGUGGUCGUGGGCAAUUCUUUGCCACACGCCGGCUCUUCCGUUGGGUCUCUUUUCCCCAACCUCGACGGCGCCAGGGUUUGCUCUCCGACGAGAUGUGCUCCUUUGAUCUUGAGAUGCCACGGGUGCAUCUUCUCUUCUUAUGGCCCGGAGGUCAUGGCCGUGUUUAGGUUCGCAUCUUAUUCUUUGGAUUUGAGUUCAUUUGCCUCACCACGAACCUUUCUGCAGGAUCCAUGUUUCGGACGUUAGAGCCGAUCCCUGAUGCAUUCCCCGUGGAGUCGCGGGAUUUCAUGAGCAUCGCCGAUACCCAGCUGGGCCGCGGCGGCGAGGGCACCCUCUGUGCGGGGACGCCGGCUUAGGUUUUCUCAGAAGCCACCAGCGGCUGAACCAUGAGGUAAUUACGGAUCUAAAAAUCUCUCAUGUACCAUUUUAAGUCGUUUGAUUUCUCGGAUAAGAAGAUGCGCCUGUUUGAGAUACAAAUUUCUUAGCCAAAACGGACCAUCACGUCUAGUUUCAGUGUGAAGAAAGCUACUAUUGUUGUGUAUAGAUUGAUUUUCAGUAUGGAAAUCCCGUGGUGAGAGCUGGAGAUUUUUGUUUUGGUUGGUAUUCACUUAUGGGAUUUGUUGGCAUCAUUAUUAUUUGUGUCUGAUUUCUAGUUGCUGCUGGUGAUUUUGGGAUCUGUAAUCAAUCUGGAAAAAUCGAGGGGCAUCUCAUAUUUCUCCAUUAAAUCAGUCAUCCUAUACUUGACAAUUACUGAAAUAUUAGGCCCUGCCGUGCAAUUUUUUUUCAUAUCCUGUUUUUAGAUGCAAAUUGGUUAAAUGACACUGAUUCUGCCAUUUAGUGCCAACAUUGAGAAAAAAUAGGAUGCAUUACGUGUUAUGGUUUUGAAACAAUUAUAUUCUUUUCUAUUUUUCUAUCAUAAAUAUGCUAUGUUGUUCUUUUUGCGAAGAAAAUAUCGUAUGAUGUUUACUGAACUGUCAAGGCAUAUUGUAAAUGGGCAAACAGAUAUAUGUUACCACUGACUCAUCUUCGUCCUCCCAAUCCAUCAGCGGCUGUCCUCCAUGGAUGAGUUUGCCGAAGCGCGGCAAGGUGGACCAUACAGGUAAUGAAGUGCUCCAAAUCUUCCAGUCUUAGUAUCGUCGAAGCUGAAAUUUGCAACGCUGCUGAGCUUGGAAGCGGUGGGCAAAGUGGUGGAUUCCCCCCUGAAGCCGGUGUGUUCCAAGUUUGCUCUGAAGCUACCAGUGGAUGGACCAUGUAUUUUUGUCAAUUUAUUAAUGAUGCCUCUGUAGUUCUUCGUGAUUUAAUACAACAAUUCCUCCUAUACUAUUUAGUGGCUGAAAAUUUUCAUUGUUAUCAAGAGCUUACUUUUAUUCUUAGUAAUUCAUACGACACAGUUCUGGCUAUUGAAGCUGUCCUAUUGACAACUGUUGCUGUUUCAUAUGAUACUCUCUUGACAGUAGGAACCUGAUUCAUGUAGAUUUUGAAAUGGCCAGUCUUUUUCUGGUCUGCACAUUUGUUGGAAUUUUAUGGAGCCAACUCCAUUGUAGGUUUCGCCUUAUAAUCCAAACUAAUAAUUAUGACCUCGUUGAAACAUGUUUGGUGAUUAAUACACUUCAGAAAUCUUGAAAAGAGUAUUGAUGCUAUUAUUGCUGCUAAAAUUUCUUUUUCUUUUUGAUAAUCAUGAUUGAAAGAGCCUGGGUUAUUUUUGUACUACAUUUUGUUCUCUAGUGCGCAAGCUGCUUGUUUCAUUGUUGAGUAGAUGACAUUGGGUUGAUAGAACCACAUUCAUGUAAAUAUUCUGAUAUUCACCAUGUGCUUUUCUUUGUUGGCAGUACGGAUGAUGCAAUAAUUGAAGAUAUGAAGAAGGAUUACAUGGUCGCGCAAGAGAUCAAGGAGAAUAACAAAUAAGCUUUAUGCAAUGGAUAAUUUGCAAGGCAAGGUUCUCCAUGCUUGUAUGUACGUUGCUGCUUUUGGAAUUUGGCAGUUGCUUACUGGUCAUGUUUGCUGAUUGAUGCUGAAUUCCUAGAUACAUUUUGUAAACAUUUGGAUUUGUCCAGGCGCAUGCCUGUAUGUACUAGAUGUUUACUUGUUUUCACUUAUCUGCAGAAGUGGUACGUUCCCUGUGAGAUUAAAUUAACUAGGUCCUAAUAAUGUAUUAUGUAAAAAUGUAUAUUUUAAUGGAGGUGUAUUUUCUGGUCACCAUACCGUGUUACUUGUCCUGAUGGAACGAAUUACCUAGUUCCUUGUUAUCGGGCAUGCAAUUACGUUAAUUCUGACUAUAAUUAC